AAUGGGGGAAACCCUGACGCAGCAACGCCGCGUGAAGGAUGAAGGUUUUCGGAUCGUAAACUUCUUUGAUGAGGGACGAAGAAUGACGGUACCUCAAAAACAAGCCACGGCUAACUACGUGCCAGCAGCCGCGGUAAUACGUAGGUGGCGAGCGUUAUCCGGAAUUACUGGGUGUAAAGGGCGUGUAGGCGGGAAUGUAAGUCAGAUGUGAAACUCCGAGGCUUAACUUCGGAACUGCAUCUGAAACUAUGUUUCUUGAGUGCUGGAGAGGAAAGCGGAAUUCCUAGUGUAGCGGUGAAAUGCGUAGAUAUUAGGAGGAACACCAGUGGCGAAGGCGGCUUUCUGGACAGUAACUGACGCUGAGGCGCGAAAGCGUGGGGAGCAAA
rnacentral:rRNA from 1 species